UACGGAGGGUGCUAGCGUUGUUCGGAAUCACUGGGCGUAAAGGGCGUGUAGGCGGUCUGUUAAGUCUGAUGUGAAAUCCCCUCGCUCAACGAGGGAACUGCGUCGGAUACUGGCAGACUCGAGUACCGGAGAGGAAGGUGGAAUUCCCGGUGUAGCGGUGAAAUGCGUUGAUAUCAGGAGGAACACCCAUGGCGAAGGCAGCAAACUGGCCGGCAUCUGACGCUGAGGCGCGAAAGCAUGGGGAGCGAACAGG
rnacentral:rRNA from 1 species